rnacentral:rRNA from 1 species
AAAACAUUAUUUCGCAUGUAGGGGUAAAAUCCGUAGAGAUGCGAAGGAGCACCAGAGGCGAAGGCGCCUUCCUGGACGAGUAUUGACGCUGAGGCGCGAAAGCGUGGGUAGCAAACAGGAUUAGAUACCCUGGUAGUCCACGCCGUAAACGAUGUGCACUAGAUAUUGGAGGUUUGACCCCUUCAGUGUCGUAGCUAACGCAUUAAGUGCACCGCCUGGGGAGUACGGUCGCAAGACUAAAACUCAAAGGGAAUUGACGGGGGCCCGCACAAGCGGUGGAUUAUGUGGUUUAAUUCGAAGCAACGCGCAGAACCUUACCUAGGCUUGAAAUCCCGAGAAGAUUGACCAAAAUUAAUUGUGCCCUUCGGAGAACUCGGUGACAGGCGCUGCAUGGCUGUCGUCAGCUCGUGUCGUGAGAUGUUGGGUUAAGUCUCGCAACGAGCGCAACCCCCUAUCCCUUAGUUGCCAGCAUUAAGUUGGGCACUCUAGGGAGACUGCCCUGGGUUAACCAGGAGGAAGGUGGGGAUGACGUCAAGUCCU